rnacentral:rRNA from 1 species
UGGGGAAUAUUGGGCAAUGGGCGAAAGCCUGACCCAGCAACGCCGCGUGAGGGAAGAAGGUUUUCGGAUUGUAAACCUCUGUCCUUGGGGACGAAGGAAGUGACGGUACCCAAGGAGGAAGCCCCGGCUAACUACGUGCCAGCAGCCGCGGUAAUACGUAGGGGGCGAGCGUUGUCCGGAAUGACUGGGCGUAAAGGGCGCGUAGGCGGCUUGAUAAGUUAGAAGUGAAAGUCCUGCUUUCAAGGUGGGAAUUGCUUUUAAUACUGUUGAGCUUGAGUGCAGAAGAGGUAAGCGGAAUUCCAAGUGUAGCGGUGAAAUGCGUAGAGAUUUGGAAGAACACCAGUGGCGAAGGCGGCUUACUGGGCUGUAACUGACGCUGAGGCGCGAAAGCGUGGGGAGCGAACAGG